AACGAACGCUGGCGGCAUGCCUAACACAUGCAAGUCGAACGAGACCUUCGGGUCUAGUGGCGCACGGGUGCGUAACGCGUGAGAACCUGCCCUUAGGUUCGGAAUAACUCCCCGAAAGGGGUGCGAAUACCGGAUAAUGUCUUCGGACCAAGGAGUUAUCGCCUUUGGAUGGGCCCGCGUUGGAUUAGCUAGUUGGUAGGGUAAAAGCCUACCAAGGCGACGAUCCAUAGCUGGUCUGAGAGGAUGAUCAGCAACACUGGGACUGAGACACGGCCCAGACUCCUACGGGAGGCAGCAGUGGGGAAUAUUGGACAAUGGGCGAAAGCCUGAUCCAGCAAUGCCGCGUGAGUGAUGAAGGCCUUAGGGUUGUAAAGCUCUUUUACCAGGGAUGAUAAUGACAGUACCGGGAGAAUAAGCUCCGGCGAACUCCGU
rnacentral:rRNA from 1 species